ensembl:miRNA Mir7051 microRNA 7051
ACUACUCACCAGGAGGAAGUUGGGUCAGGUAAGGGCUUCGCAGCCCCCCUGAGCCACUGAUUCCUGUGUGCAG